AUGUUCGCCGCCGAGAGCCGCGCCGGCGCCGAGGCUGAGGCCGAGCUGAGGGAGGCGGAGAGAGCGUUCGCCACCAGCCUGGCCAUCGUGGACGAGCGGCUCGAGGGUGAGCGCUCCCUGCCCCCUCCAAGUGUCCCCAUGUCCCCUCCACGUGUCCCCAUGUCCCUUCCACGUGUCCCCAUGUCCCUUCCGUGUGUCCCCCUGCCCCCUCCACGUGUCCCCAUGUACCCUCCACGUGUCCCCAUGUCCCUUCCAUGUGUCCCCACCCUCUCCCCAUGCCCCCAUCCCUUCCACAUGUCCCUCUCCCCUCCGUGUGUCCCCAUUCCUCUCCAUGUGCUCCCAUGUCUCCUCCCCGUGUCCCCCUUCCCCUCCCUCUGUCCCCAUGUCCCCUCCCCAUGUCCCUUCUCUGUGUCCCCAUCCCCUCCACGUGUCCCCAUCCUCUCCAUGUGCCCCCGUGUCCCCCUUUCCCUCGCCGUGUCCCCAUCCCUUCCAUGUGUCCCCGUGUCUCCUCCAUGUGUCCCCAUCCCCUCCAUGUUCCGCAGUCCCCAUCCCCACCCUAUUUCCAAUCCUCAUUCCCAUUCCCAAUCCCCAUUCCCGAUUCCCACCCCAUCUCCAUUCUCAUUCUCCCUCCCCACCCCAUUCCCACCCCAAUUCCCACACCAUCCCCGUUCCCAUUCCCCAAUUCCCAUUCCCCAUCCCAAUCCUCGUUCCCAUUUCUUGUUCCCCGUUCCCAAUUCCUAUUCCCCAUCCCAUCCCCAUUCCCCAAUUCCCAUUCCCCAUUCCCAAUUCCCAAUUCCCAUUCCCCAUUCCCCAUUCCCAAUCCCUCUCCCCAAUCCCAAUUCCCAUCCCAUUCCUCACCCCAUCUCUAUUCCGCACCCCACUCCCGUUGCCCCCCACCCCACAUCCCAUUGCCCCCACAUCCCAUUGCCCCAACUCCCAUUGCCUCCCAACCAAUGUCAUUGCCCCCACAUCCCAUUGCCCCCAAUCUCGUUGCCCCCACUCCCAUCACCCGCCAUCCCAUCACCC
rnacentral:lncRNA from 1 species